rnacentral:rRNA from 1 species
UACGGAGGUGGCAAGCGUUGCUCGGAAUCACUGGGCGUAAAGGGCGCGUAGGCGGGGAGGUAAGUCGGGUGUGAAAUCCCUCGGCCCAACCGAGGAACUGCGCCCGAGACUGCUUCUCUUGAGUCCCGGAGAGGAAGAUGGAAUUCCCGGUGUAGCGGUGAAAUGUGUAGAGAUCGGGAGGAACACCAAUGGCGAAGGCAGCUCGCUGGGACGUGACUGACGCUGAGACGCGAAAGCGUGGGGAGCAAACGGG